GUGCCAGCAGCGCGGUAAUACGAAGGGGGCGAGCGUUGUUCGGAAUUACUGGGCGUAAAGGGCGCGUAGGCGGCUAUUUAAGUCAGAUGUGAAAGCCCCGGGCUCAACCUGGGAUGUGCAUUUGAUACUGGAUGGCUUGAGUACGGGAGAGGUGAGCGGAAUUCCCAGUGUAGAGGUGAAAUUCGUAGAGAUUGGGAAGAACACCGGUUGCGAAGGCGGCUCACUGGACCGUUACUGACGNUGAGGCGCGAAAGCGUGGGGAGCAAACAGGAUUAGAUACCCUGGUAGUNCACGCCGUAAACGAUGUGCGCUAGCCGUCGGGGAGCCUAGCUCUUCGGUGGCGCCGCUAACGCAUUAAGCGCACCGCCUGGGGAGUACGGCCGCAAGGUUAAAACUCAAAUGAAUUGACGG
rnacentral:rRNA from 1 species